AUUGAACGCUGGCGGCAGGCCUAACACAUGCAAGUCGAGCGAGCGGCGGACGGGUGAGUCAUGUAUGGGGACUGCCCGAUAGAGGGGGAUAACUACUGGAAACGGUAGCUAAUAUCGCAUACUAUAGGAUUACACAUAUGGGAUUAGCUAGUAGGUGGGGUAAUGGCUCACCUAGGCGACGAUCCCUAGCUGGUCUGAGAGGAUGAAAAGCAAAACUGGGACUGAGACACGGCCCAGACUCCUACGGAGGCAGCAGUGGGGAAUAUUGCACAAUGGGCUCAAGCCGGAUGCAGCCAUGCCGCGUGUAUGAAGAAGGCACUAGGGUUGUAAAGUACUUUCAGUCGGGAGGCGUUACCGACAGAAGAAGCACCGGCGAACUCCGUGCCAGCAGCCGCGGUAAUUC
rnacentral:rRNA from 1 species